UUCAGCUGACUGUCAACCAGCACCUACAGACUUCCAAGUUUGACCUGUGGAUCUCCCCUGUGCAGACUGCCAUCGGUAGAGCAUCACUUUUUUACUACCAGAUACCCAAAAUGGAUUUUUCCUCUUGAGAUGUCGAGUUAUGACUGGAGAAACAAUUACCUCUGAAGAAAGACUAAUGGCAGUUUCCUUUUCCCAAGAAGAUUCAAAGCAGAGAUGGGCUAUGAACUGGUUAAAUAAGCCACAGAUGUCAAGACACCAGUGAUAUAGAAUUAUGUAGUGCAACAUUAGAAAAUACUUUAAGAGCUGAAGUUAGAUUUGGAAUAGAAUUGGAAUUUUCACUGCUCUAAAUCUUUGUUUUAAUUUUGGUGUGUGCAUAUUAUCAUGCCAUGUUUUAUUGCUUUACCAUGUUCUGUGAUAUCUCCAGGGAAUGUUUGUAAAGGAAUAUGAAACAAUUCACCAAACUUCAAGUGAUGGACAGAAUCAAACAACACCAAUGAAAAUUUGCAGAUUUGGUAUGAAUAGGGGUACAAGCUUUAUUAUUUAUUACUACACUGAAAGCAUUGCUUCUGCAUCUCUUGUCAUGUUAAUAACAGUCCUUACUUUAAGAAUGCCAGGAAUGUUAUUCAGUAGUCCUAUGUUUGAAGAAUAUAGAUAAAGUCAGUCUGACAGAGUUCAUAUAGGAAGGAUUCCAUCCAUGUAAGUUUUUACUUGAUAAAUGAAGACUGGUCCUAACUAUACUAUCAGGGAUUGAAAUUGCAGCCAGCAACACAAGAUGCAACACAAAAACUGGACUUUACCUUCAUUGUGGAUUUAUAUGGUAUACAUUAGACAAAACAAUUAUCUGGAGGUAGUUCAUUUUUCCCCUCUUCUUUUGAUUUUUUAGAGUUACUUUAUAACCUUUUUGGCAAUUUGUAAGGGAAGUGCUUUAAAAUGCAAGCUGCCUUGUGGUAAAGUUUGUGAAUCUUUUUUCUUUUUAAACAAUUGUUUUAUAGUGAGCAAAACAUGCAGGAUGAUAGUCCUUAAAAACAGUAGUCUUGUCCUAAUCCUUUACCUCAUCCUUUGCUGGGUUAUGCAGUUAUAGCACAAAAAUGUCAGAUUGGAAAGGGUCAAUCCUUUGAUCCUGUUCAGUUUUUAGAAAGAUCAAGGUUACAGAUUUUGCCCAACUGCAGCAAUGUGGCUACCUGUCAACCAGCAAUUAUAUAGAGACUCAGCUUGUUUAGCAUACACCACUGAGCAACCAUCAAAGGUUAACCAUUUUCCAUACUAAUCUAGCUGGAUGCAAACCAACUACUUAAUGAAAAAUGCUCUGUAUCCUGUUACUGUUUUUCUGAGUAAUGCAGUCCAACUCACCCUACUUUAAAAAUUCUUCCUGCCGUCCACCUGUGCCAGUGCACUUGU